rnacentral:rRNA from 1 species
CUCACUGGUCGAGUGAUCCUGCGCCGAAGAUUUCCGGGGCUAAAACUUACUACCGAAGCGACGGCAUCAGUAAUGAUGGGUAGGGGAGCUUCCCAUACGGGUUGAAGCAUGACCGUAAGGACAUGGGGACAGUAUGGGAGUGAGAAUGUUGGCAGGAGUAGCGAGAUGUGGGUGGGAAUCCCACAGGCCGUAAACCCAAGGUUUCCAGGGGAAGGUUCGUCCGCCCUGGGUUAGUCGGGACCUAAGCUGAGGCCGAAAGGCGUAGGUGAUGGACAACAGGUUGAUAUUCCUGUACUACCGAUAACCGUUUGAGAGAAGGGAUGACACAG